rnacentral:rRNA from 1 species
CCUACGGGUGGCAGCAGUGAGGAAUAUUGGUCAAUGGGCGAGAGCCUGAACCAGCCAAGUCGCGUGAGGGAUGACGGAUCUAUGGUUUGUAAACUUCUUUUAUAUGGGAAUAAAGUGAGGAACGUGUUCCUUUUUGUAUGUACCAUAUGAAUAAGCAUCGGCUAACUCCGUGCCAGCAGCCGCGGUAAUACGGAGGAUGCGAGCGUUAUCCGGAUUUAUUGGGUUUAAAGGGUGCGUAGGUGGUUAAUUAAGUCAGCGGUGAAAGCUUGUGGCUCAACCAUAAAAUUGCCGUUGAAACUGGUUGACUUGAGUAUAUAUGAGGUAGGCGGAAUGCGUGGUGUAGCGGUGAAAUGCAUAGAUAUCACGCAGAACUCCGAUUGCGAAGGCAGCUUACCAAACUAUAACUGACACUGAAGCACGAAAGCGUGGGGAUCGAACAGGAUUAGAUACCCGAGUAGUC